GACAAGACAGAAGACAAAGAAUAGGUAAAACAGGAUGUAAAGUUUAUAUACAAGAAUAUAAUGUUUAUCUGAAAUAUUUACAGUGUUGGUUAAAGCAAUAUUUUUACAACUUUUAAAGGUAAACUACUAUGUAUAUUACAGGAGACUUAGACACUGAGUCUCAGUCUGGAGCUGAUGAAGAUGUUGAGAUAACAGCCAGCUUUAUCUCAACAGGGUUUGUGACCCACAAGUUUGGGCCACAGAG
rnacentral:lncRNA from 1 species